UGUGGUUGCAUUCCAGGCUGUUGCCUAUAGCCAAAAUAACAACAUUAAAUGGCUUGCAGUAAAUAAUUCUCCAGAACUAAAGAAGAAUGAAAUUGUAAAACACAGGAAACAAGUAAAUGAGAUCUGGUAGCCAGAAAAUUACUCAGCUGGCAGGUCCUGUCAAUGAACAUCUUUCUACCAAUGUAAUAAGUUUAAUCGACAUAUUUGUGCUCUGGACAUAACAAGGCCUAAUAGAGUCUAAGGGCGGGCUUUCAUCCACAUUUUCAAAUUCCCAUUUCAAAAAUACAUACGCAUGAAAACCAUAUACAUAAGAAUACAAUCCCCCCUACCAAAAA
rnacentral:misc_RNA from 1 species